GGGGAGAUGGCCGAGUGGUUAAUGGCAGCAGACUGUAAAUCUGCCGGCGUAUGCCUACGGAGGUUCGAAUCCUUCUCUCCCCA
rnacentral:tRNA from 1 species